UGCUCGCGCAUCGAACUACAUACCACCUAUCCUUCUCAGUUGCUUCGCGAGCAAAUUUAAGCUCGUCGAUGAGAUAUGGGGCUUGUGUUGCGUACCUAACUAGAAGGAAUUGAUGAGUUUGGCUUUAACCGUUGUUCGCGGCAUCUCCCUCAACGGGGGGAAGUCGUGAACACAAUAAUCGGCACUUGUGAUCCUUGUGUCCUAGCACCAAAAAUGUUGUUCACAAAGGUGAACAAGAUGUCGGUUGAACUCUCGGAUGCGGAAAGAUUAUGGACGGUGACUUGAAGUGAUUCUGUCCCGCCAAAGCACGUUUGUCCUCGGACAAAAGAUGACGGUUAAGACCUCGUCUGUUCUUUCUUACCUAGUGUUUGCGAGAAUUAGGCGGGGCCUUGCCGUGAUUGAUGAAUGCUACCUGGU
rnacentral:misc_RNA from 1 species